rnacentral:rRNA from 1 species
UAAGGAAUAUUGCUCAAUGGGAGAAAUCCUGAAGCAGCAACGCCGCGUGGAGGAUGAAGGGUCUAUGACUUGUAAACUCCUGUAAAGAAGGAAAAAAUUCCCAUUAGAUGGGAGAUGAUGGUACUUCUGGAGUAAGCCCCGGCUAACUACGUGCCAGCAGCCGCGGUAAUACGUAGGGGGCAAGCGUUGUCCGGAUUUACUGGGUGUAAAGGGUGCUCAGGCGGAUUUAUAAGUCAGAGGUGAAAUCUUACAGCUUAACUGUGAAACUGCCUUUGAUACUGCAAGCCUAGAGUAUGGAAGAGAGUGAUGGAAUAUCUGGGGUAGCAGUGAAAUGCGUAGAUAUCAGAUAGAACACCAAUGGCGAAGGCAGUCACUUGGUCCAUUACUGACGCUAAAGCACGAAAGCGUGGGUAGCAAACA